UACGAAGGGGGCUAGCGUUGUUCGGAAUUACUGGGCGUAAAGCGCGCGUAGGCGGCGCAGCAAGUCAGGGGUGAAAUCCCGGAGCUUAACUCCGGAACUGCCUUUGAAACUGCUGUGCUGGAAUCUCAGAGGGGAUAGCGGAAUUCCAAAUGUAGGGGUGAAAUCCGUAGAUAUUUGGAGGAACACCGGUGGCGAAGGCGGCUAUCUGGAUGAGUAUUGACGCUGAGGCGCGAAAGCGUGGGGAUCAAACAGG
rnacentral:rRNA from 1 species